GCCUACGGGGGGCAGCAGUGGGGAAUAUUGCAUAAUGGGGGGAACCCUGAUGCAGCGACGCCGCGUGAGUGAAGAAGUAUUUCGGUAUGUAAAGCUCUAUCAGCAGGGAAGAAAAUGACGGUACCUGACUAAGAAGCCCCGGCUAACUACGUGCCAGCAGCCGCGGUAAUACGUAGGGGGCAAGCGUUAUCCGGAUUUACUGGGUGUAAAGGGAGCGCAGACGGCUGUGCAAGUCUGGAGUGAAAGGCGGGGGCCCAACCCCCGGACUGCUCUGGAAACUGGCGGGCUAGAGAGCAGGAGAGGGG
rnacentral:rRNA from 1 species